rnacentral:rRNA from 1 species
AGUGAACGCUGGCGGUAGGCCUAACACAUGCAAGUCGAACGGCAGCACAGUAAGAGCUUGCUCUUACGGGUGGCGAGUGGCGGACGGGUGAGGAAUACAUCGGAAUCUACUUUUUCGUGGGGGAUAACGUAGGGAAACUUACGCUAAUACCGCAUACGACCUACGGGUGAAAGCAGGGGAUCUUCGGACCUUGCGCGAUUGAAUGAGCCGAUGUCGGAUUAGCUAGUUGGCGGGGUAAAGGCCCACCAAGGCGACGAUCCGUAGCUGGUCUGAGAGGAUGAUCAGCCACACUGGAACUGAGACACAUUACAGACGCCUACGGGAGGCAGCAGUGUGGAAUAGUUGACAAUGGGCGCAAGCCUGAUCCAGCCAUACCGCGUGGGUGAAGAAGGCCUGCGGGUUGUCACGCCCUUUUGUUGGCAACGAAAAGCAGCAGGUUAACACCCCGCUGUCCUGACGGUACCCAAAAAAUAAGCCCCGGCUAACUUC